rnacentral:rRNA from 1 species
GACGAGCCGUGCGAACGUUGUUCGGAAUCACUGGGCUUAAAGGGCGCGUAGGCGGGUCAUCAAGUCCGGGGUGAAAUCCUUCGGCUUAACCGGAGCAGGGCUUCGGAUACUGGUGACCUCGAGGGGUGUAGGGGCAUGUGGAACUUCCGGUGGAGCGGUGAAAUGCGUAGAUAUCGGAAGGAACGCCGGUGGCGAAAGCGACGUGCUGGACACCUUCUGACGCUGAGGCGCGAAAGCCAGGGGAGCAAACGGG